AGAGUUUGAUCCUGGCUCAGGAUGAACGCUAGCUACAGGCUUAACACAUGCAAGUCGAGGGGAAACGGCAUUGAGUGCUUGCACUCUUUGGACGUCGACCGGCGCACGGGUGAGUAACGCGUAUCCAACCUUCCCAUUACUGUGGGAUAACCUGCCGAAAGGCAGACUAAUACCGCAUAGUCUUCGAUGACGGCAUCAGAUUUGAAGUAAAGAUUUAUCGGUAAUGGAUGGGGAUGCGUCUGAUUAGCUUGUUGGCGGGGUAACGGCCCACCAAGGCGACGAUCAGUAGGGGUUCUGAGAGGAAGGUCCCCCACAUUGGAACUGAGACACGGUCCAAACUCCUACGGGAGGCAGCAGUGAGGAAUAUUGGUCAAUGGACGGAAGUCUGAACCAGCCAAGUAGCGUGCAGGAUGACGGCCCUAUGGGUUGUAAACUGCUUUUGUAUGGGGAUAAAGUUAGGGACGUGUCCCUAUUUGCAGGUACCAUACGAAUAAGGACCGGCUAAUUCCGUGCCAGCAGCCGCGGUAAUACGGAAGGUCCAGGCGUUAUCCGGAUUUAUUGGGUUUAAAGGGAGUGUAGGCGGUCUGUUAAGCGUGUUGUGAAAUUUAGGUGCUCAACAUCUACCUUGCAGCGCGAACUGGCGGACUUGAGUGCACGCAACGUAUGCGGAAUUCAUGGUGUAGCGGUGAAAUGCUUAGAUAUCAUGACGAACUCCGAUUGCGAAGGCAGCGUACGGGAGUGUUACUGACGCUUAAGCUCGAAGGUGCGGGUAUCGAACAGGAUUAGAUACCCUGGUAGUCCGCACAGUAAACGAUGGAUGCCCGCUGU
rnacentral:rRNA from 1 species